rnacentral:rRNA from 1 species
UACGUAGGCAGCGAGCGUUGUUCGGAGUUACUGGGCGUAAAGCGUGCGUAGGCGGUGUCUUAAGUUUGUUGUGAAAUCUCCCGGCUUAACCGGGAGGGUGCGGCGAAUACUGAGAUGCUGGAGUGCGGGAGAGGUAAGCGGAAUUCCCGGUGUAGCGGUGAAAUGCGUAGAUAUCGGGAGGAAGGCCGGUGGCGAAGGCGGCGCUCUGGACCCUUACUGACGCUGAGGCGCGAAAGCCAGGGGAGCAAACGGG